rnacentral:rRNA from 1 species
UACGUAGGGGGCAAGCGUUGUCCGGAAUCAUUGGGCGUAAAGAGCGUGUAGGCGGUUCGGUAAGUCGGCUGUGAAAGUCCAGGGCUCAACCCUGGGAUGCCGGUCGAUACCGCCGGACUAGAGUUCGGAAGAGGCGAGUGGAAUUCCCGGUGUAGCGGUGAAAUGCGCAGAUAUCGGGAGGAACACCUAUGGCGAAGGCAGCUCGCUGGGACGUUACUGACGCUGAGACGCGAAGCGUGGGAGCAAACAGG